GACAGAGGGUGCAACCGUUGUUCGGAAUUACUGGGCGUAAAGGGCGCGUAGGCGGUACUUCAAGUCAGGCGUGAAAGCCCCGGGCUCAACCUGGGAACCGCGCUUGAGACUGGAGAACUAGAGUUCGGGAGAGGAUGGUGGAAUUCCCAGUGUAGAGGUGAAAUUCGUAGAUAUUGGGAAGAACACCGAUGGCGAAGGCAGCCAUCUGGACCGACACUGACGCUGAGGCGCGAAAGCGUGGGGAGCAAACAGG
rnacentral:rRNA from 1 species